CCUACGGGAGGCAGCAGUGGGGAAUAUUGGGCAAUGUGCGCAAGCCUGACCCAGCAACGCCGCGUGAAGGAAGAAGGCCUUCGGGGUGUAAACCUCUUUUUUUAGGGACGAAGAAAGUGACGGUACUCGAGGUAUAAGCCUCGGCUAACUACGUGCCAGCAGCCGCGGUAAUACGUAGGCGGCAAGCGUUAUCCGGAUUUAUUGGGUGUAAAGGGCGGGUGGGCGGGAGCGCAAGUCAGAUGGGAAAACUCAGGGCUCAACCCUGAGCCUGCAUUUGAAACUGUGUUACUUGAGUGCUGGAGAGGCAAUCGGAAUUCCGUGUGUAGCGGUGAAAUGCUUAGAUAUACGGAGGAACACCAGUGGCGAAGGCAGAUUACUGGACAGUAACUGACGCUGAGGCGCGAAAGCGUGGGGAGCAAACAGGAUUAGAUACCCGAGUAGUC
rnacentral:rRNA from 1 species